CCUACGGGGGGCAGCAGUGGGGAAUAUUGGACAAUGGGCGAAAGUCUGAUCCAGCCAUGCCGCGUGUGUGAAGAAGGCCUUCGGGUUGUAAAGCACUUUCAGUGGGGAAGAAAGCCUUGGGGCUAAUACCCUCGAGGAAGGACAUCACCCAUAGAAGAAGCACCGGCUAACUCCGUGCCAGCAGCCGCGGUAAUACGGAGGGUGCGAGCGUUAAUCGGAAUUACUGGGCGUAAAGCGCGCGUAGGCGGUCUGAUAAGCCGGUUGUGAGAGCCCCGGGCUCAACCUGGGAACGGCAUCCGGAACUGUCAGGCUAGAGUGCAGGAGAGGAAGGUAGAAUUCCCGGUGUAGCGGUGAAAUGCGUAGAGAUCGGGAGGAAUACCAGUGGCGAAGGCGGCCUUCUGGACUGACACUGACGCUGAGGUGCGAAAGCGUGGGUAGCAAACAGGAUUAGAUACCCCGGUAGUC
rnacentral:rRNA from 1 species